rnacentral:rRNA from 1 species
GAUGAACGCUGGCGGCGUGCUUAACACAUGCAAGUCGAACGGUGAACGAGGGAGCUUGCUCCCUCCGGAUCAGUGGCGAACGGGUGAGUAACACGUGAGCAAUCUGCCCUGGACUCUGGGAUAAGCGUUGGAAACGACGUCUAAUACCGGAUACGAGACGUGGGGGCAUCCCCAACGCCUGGAAAGAACUUCGGUCCAGGAUGAGCUCGCGGCCUAUCAGCUAGUUGGUGAGGUAACGGCUCACCAAGGCGACGACGGGUAGCCGGCCUGAGAGGGUGACCGGCCACACUGGGACUGAGACACGGCCCAGACUCCUACGGGAGGCAGCAGUGGGGAAUAUUGCACAAUGGGCGCAAGCCUGAUGCAGCAACGCCGCGUGAGGGACGACGGCCUUCGGGUUGUAAACCUCUUUUAGCAGGGAAGAAGCGAAAGUGACGGUACCUGCAGAAAGAGCACCGGCUAACUACGUGCCAGCCGCCGCAGUAAAAC